rnacentral:rRNA from 1 species
UAUCAGGCAGCCCAAGACAUCUAGCCACGCCACACCCAGGGCCCCAGCAGUGAUUAACAUUAAAAUAAACGUCAGUUUGAUUUAGCCAAUGAAAAUAGAGCCGGCAAAUCUGGUGCCAGCCGCCGCGGCUACACCAAAGGCUCAAAUUGAUUCGGCGUAAAGCGUGAUUAAAGGGUUAAACUUAAACUGAGCUGUGAUACGCUUGUUUAAAAAAACCUGUUUCGAAAGACACCCCAACCCAUCAACUUGAACUCACGAUAACUGGGACACAAACUGGGAUUAGAUACCCCACUAUGCUCAGUCAUAAACUUUUACUUACCGCCAGGGAAUUACGAGCAAAGCUUAAAACCCAAAGGACUUGACGGUACCCCACAUCCAUCUAGAGGAGCCUGUCCUAUAACCGAUACUCCCCGUUCAACCUCACCACUUUUAGUUCAGCCUGUAUACUUCCGUCGCCAGCUUACCGUGUGAACGAAAGUAGGCUUAAUGUCACCCAUCAAUACGUCAGGUCAAAGUGCAGCAAACAAAGUGGCAAGAGAUGGGCUACACUCUCUAUAGAAAAUACGUAAACUAUAUGAAACGUCAAAAGGUGGAUUUAGCAGUAAGAGAGUAGAGUACUCCUCUUAACGGCACUGGGGUGUGUACACACCGCCCGUCACCCCCU